ACACGACUACUAUUAGAUACCCGCGUAGUCCUAGCCGUAAACGAUACUCGCUAGGUGUCGGCCACGGUGCCGACCGUUGUCGGUGCCGUAGGGAAGCCGUGAAGCGAGCCACCUGGGGAAAGUACGGGCCGCAAAGGCUGAAACUUAAAGGAAUUGGCGGGGGAGCACCACAACGGGUGGAGCUUGCGGUUUAAUUGGAUUCAACGCCGGAAAUCUUACCGGGACCGACAGCAACAUGAAGGCCAGGCUGAAGACUUUGCCGGAUUAGCUG
rnacentral:rRNA from 1 species